rnacentral:rRNA from 1 species
ACUCUUAUUCUGAGGCAGCAGUGGGGAAUAUUGCACAAUGGGCGCAAGCCUGAUGCAGCGACGCCGCGUGAGGGAUGACGGCCUUCGGGUUGUAAACCUCUUUCAGUAGGGAAGAAGCGAAAGUGACGGUACCUGCAGAAGAAGCGCCGGCUAACUACGUGCCAGCAGCCGCGGUAAUACGUAGGGCGCAAGCGUUAUCCGGAAUUAUUGGGCGUAAAGAGCUCGUAGGCGGUUUGUCGCGUCUGCCGUGAAAGUCCGGGGCUCAACUCCGGAUCUGCGGUGGGUACGGGCAGACUAGAGUGAUGUAGGGGAGACUGGAAUUCCUGGUGUAGCGGUGAAAUGCGCAGAUAUCAGGAGGAACACCGAUGGCGAAGGCAGGUCUCUGGGCAUUAACUGACGCUGAGGAGCGAAAGCAUGGGGAGCGAACAGGAUUAGAUACCCUGGUAGUCCAUGCCGUAAACGUUGGGCACUAGGUGUGGGGGACAUUCCACGUUUUCCGCGCCGUAGCUAACGCAUUAAGUGCCCCGCCUGGGGAGUACGGCCGCAAGGCUAAAACUCAAAGGAAUUGACGGGGGCCCGCACAAGCGGCGGAGCAUGCGGAUUAAUUCGAUGCAACGCGAAGAACCUUACCAAGGCUUGACAUGGACCGGACCGCCGCAGAAAUGUGGUUACCCCCCUG